AACGAACGCUGGCGGCAGGCUUAACACAUGCAAGUCGAACGGACGUAGCAAUACGUUAGUGGCGCACGGGAGAGUAACACGUGGGAACCUACCUUUUAGUUCGGGAUAACGUCGGGAAACUGACGCUAAUACCGGACACGCCCCAAGGGGGAAAGAUUUAUCUCUAUAAGAUGGGCGCGCGCUAGAUUAGCUUGUUGGUUAGGUAAUGGCUCACCAAGGCUACGAGCUAUAGCUGGUCUGAGAGGAUGACCAGCCUCACUGGGAGUGAGACACGGACCAGAGUCCUACGGGAGGCAGCAGUGGGGAAUAUUGGACAAUGGGGGAACCCCUGAUCCAGCUGUGCCGCGUAAAUGAUGAAGGCCUUCGGGUUGUAAAGUUCUUUUGGAGGGGACGAUGAUGACGGUACCCUCAGAAUAAGCUCCGGCUAACGUCGUGCCAGCCGCCGCGGUAA
rnacentral:rRNA from 1 species